rnacentral:rRNA from 1 species
UACGUAGGGGGCAAGCGUUGUCCGGAAUCAUUGGGCGUAAAGAGCGUGUAGGCGGUCCGGUCAGUCGGUUGUGAAAGUCAAGGGCUCAACCCUUGAAUGCCGGCCGAUACUGCCGGGCUAGAGUCCGGAAGAGGUGAGUGGAAGUUCCUGGUGUAGCGGUGAAAUGCGCAGAUAUCAGGAGGAACACCGAUGGCGAAGGCAGCUCACUGGGACGGUACUGACGCUGAGACGCGAAAGCGUGGGGAGCAAACAGGG